rnacentral:tRNA from 1 species
UGGGGUGUCGCCAAGUGGUUAAGGCAGAAGACUCUGACUCUUCCAUUACGUGGGUUCAAAUCCUACCACCCCAGCCA